AGGGAGGGUUUUCAAACAGGGCUGUUAGGACACAUGAGGGCAAGCUUCCCGCAGUUUUUAAAAACCAGAGCAGCCUUGAGCCUUGACUUCCAGAUCCUGGACUCUUGUGUCUGAAAAACAGCAGUUUGAGACAGACACCACAUACUCAGGGAUACUUCAGGCCACCACAGUGGUCUCUGUUUUCUUCCUGUUUCUGGUGUCAACACCAGUCCCAGGAGUGGGCAAAGGCCCUGUGCCUGGGCUGAGAAACUGGAUAUGCGUCAGACAUUGCAAUUUCCCUGGGAAACAGAAAAUAUUUUCUCCACUCUAUGGAUGAGGAAAUUGAAGCAAAGGGAGAAAACAUCUGAGAUUUUCCAAAGAGAAGGAAGAGCCAAGAGCUGUGAGGUUAAGGCGUAUAGCUGAGCGCUGUUCCCUGGCUCUGGAUGGGACAUCCCAGCUCCUUUCGGGAGCCCAGCAGCUCUGGAGAUGGGAGAAACACAAGUUGCUAAGGACAAGAAGUGGGAUACAGUUUACACCACACAACCACACAUAUGGAUCCCAUCAUCUGCUCAAACAGAAAGCAUUAGGCCUUGCUGGGUAAGUGAGAUAGGAAAAGAGGACCAGGGUGGGGGUUACUCAUCAUUUUCCCAACUAGAGAUUCAUGUCCCUUUUGGAAAGGGGAAGAAAGCCCUGGCUGCAGCUCCGUUUUGAGUAAUAUUCGCCACUGAGGAGCUGUGUGCAGACACUCUGGGCAGAAGCCCUUGGGAGCUCUUCCGAUUGGGCACUUGCCAGUCCUUGGAAAGGGCUGAGAAACAGGCAGGAUGCUUGUCACAGUGCUCUAAUCCCCCUACCUGAAGCUCAUUUCAAACUGAUAGCAGGAUUGGAGACUAACUACACAUCACUAUGUCAAGGGCACAACACAUAGUCAACAAUGGCAGGUGACCUCUGAUGACCCUUGUCCUUAACUAUAUUUUUGAUACUUUUCUGCAAUUAAAAUGGAUUGCUGGUCUGGGACGUGAAGCAUGCCAGAGGUUCUGGCUUCUACUUCCAGCAUGGGACACAAAAUAAAACUGCCUGUGAAACAAAGACGGAAAGAACCUCAAUCCAAAGUGCAGAAGAAAUAACUUGAAGAGUGAGGAGAGAGCCAGCACUUAUCUUACUUAGCUGACUCACUGGCCAAAGGAAGACCCGGAGGCGGACAGAGGCAGAAGCACCUAACUUGGGGUCACUCAGCAGGCGAGGCAGUGAACAGAGCCAGGACCCUGGGAAUCCCCCACUGAGGCCACUGAAUGCCAGAGGCUGGGAAAGUCCCUACACUCCAGGCGGAGAUCCUGUCACUGCUGUUGCUAACCCUACUCUACUGAACUGGACUGCUGCUGUAUCUGUGAAAUGUCUGCAAUAGGAUGGAGCUGCCACUGCUGACCUGUGAACUGAACUGCCGAUUUCCAGACAACACAGACGGGAGUUGCUCCAAAGAACCUUUCUAAACAGGUUCACUUCCCCCAUAUCUUUCUCCCGCACUACUUCUGGACAGUCGUCCCCAACAUCUCAGAAGUUGUCUUACAAUCCAUCAGCAGGAGCCCCUCCACACGGUCAUCACCAGAAUGAGAAUAUCAUUAGCCUUGCUCAUCACUAAUUAAAACCUCAGGAUCAGGUUUCUGGGUACGUCUUGGUACAUCUGUGCAGGGCACGCACCCCAGAUGGUAGGCAAGCCAGGUUUGAGGCCUGCUUCCUCCCAAGAGGAUGUCACAGAUGCUGUGGGUGACCGCACCAUGCAGCAAGAACAAGCUUAGUCUUGCACACUGCCCCCCAGGUGAGCAUGCUCAGGAAUUCUGCCCCCCUCAGAAAUAGUCCCACACUUCACUCUGCAGUCACCUCAGAAGCUUCUGGCCAACCUCUGGGCUCCAGAGACAAAGCUACGCCUAUGGAAACACUGGGAGAUGUCUGGAUUCAUUAAAGGAAAACAGCAUUCCCAGUGUAAAUCCUCCACUGUCCUGUAGAAGAGACUAGAAAGUUCUAGAGUGAUGAACAGCAAGUGACCAGCUGAUGUCAUCAGAUGGCAGUGACUUUCUCACUGCAGCCUGUCUAGUCAGUGCCCCAAAAUUGCUUUAGGGUGAGAGCAUCCCCUCUCUAGGAAGCCAGCAAGAAAAAGAGGACGGUGAUAAAGACUGAACUCUACAUACUACGUUCAGUUUCUUUUGGAAUCUUGUACAUAAUGCACAUGCGCGUGUGCGUGUGUGUGUGUGUGUGUGUGUGUGUUUGUG